rnacentral:rRNA from 1 species
CUUACAAGGAUUCCCCUAGUAACGGCGAGCGAACCGGGAACAGCCCAGCAUGAAAAUCGGGCGGCAGUGCCGUUCGAAUUGUAGUCUGUAGAAGCGUCCUCAGCGGCGGACCGGGCCCAAGUCCCUUGGAAGGGGGCGCCGGAGAGGGUGAGAGCCCCGUCGGGCCCGGACCCUGUCGCACCACGAGGCGCUGUCGGCGAGUCGGGUUGUUUGGGAAUGCAACCCUAAUCGGGUGGUAAAUUCCGUCCAAGGCUAAAUACGGGCGAGAGACCGAUAGCGAACAAGUACCGCGAGGGAAAGAUGAAAAGGACUUUGGAAAGAGAGUUAAAGAGUGCUUGAAAUUGCCGGGAGGGAAGCGGAUGGAGGCCGGCGAUGCGCCCCAGUCGGAUGCGGAACGGCGCGAGCCGGACCGCCGCUCGGCUUGGGGUGCGUGCCAGCGCAGUCUGUCGGGGCGGCAAAAGCGCGGGCGGAAGGCCGCCCGAUGCCCGGAGUCGUCCCGGCGGUCGUGGUACGAAGCGUGCGCCCUCGCGGCGGGCCCUCGGGCACCUGCGCGCUCGUGGCGCUGGCCGGCGGGCUUUCCAUCCGACCCGUCUUGAAACACGGACCAAGGAGUCUAACAU